rnacentral:tRNA from 1 species
AGUAAAAUUAUCUAAAUAAGAUGAUAAACUGUAAAUUUAUUUAUGGACUUAGUCCUUUUACUA